AUGGAACAGGAAGUGAUGCGCAUAUACUCCUCCCCCCCCCCUCCGCUGGACAACGAAUCAGGGGGAGAGGAGGUUGAUGACGAGUUUGGGGAUUUCUCUGGGGGUGUGGCAAUGUCAUCCAACCAGCCGUGCCCCUCCACAACAGACCCCGCCUCCCCAACCCCAUCAACAGUGCGCUUUAGUGUUAGUAACUCCUCCUCUUUCGCCGGAACUACCCAUAGCAACGGAAUCUCAAAACAGUUCCGAGCAGCUGACGACCUGAAGAAGCCACGGGCGCCGGUGGUGGACCAAUCACAGCCCGCUAAUACUGGGACCUCAGAGAUUGGCAGGGUUCGGCCGGGGUCGGAGUUCAAAGGGCAGCCCUGUCAUUGCAACCUCCCUGACCUCCCUCUCACCAAUGGGUUUACCAAUCGACAUCACCAGGGAACUAUGUCUGCAGGUCUUGUACCGGCUGGGCAGAGCUCCCCCAGCCAGGAGCAGGGGUUUGCAGAUUUCUCUGCGUUCGCCGAGCCAGAGAUGGAGCUGGAGCCCUGGUGCUGUGGCUUCACUCACAGUACAGAGCACAGGAAGGACGUCAGAACAGAAGGGACAAACCUAACCAACGGUUUCUGCAAUGCACACUCAGUCCAGAAGGACAUAGAGCAGAUGGCCAGAAUAGAGCCUGGCGGGCCUGACUCUCAAUGUUUAGCAGAGCAAGGGGAGAGGGACUGCACUGGAGUCCAGCAACACUGUAAGCUAAGGGGCCACCCUCAGGACUCUGGCCUCUUAGCCACCACAGAGGUGCUCUGUGUUAGGGGUGAGGGCCUGGAGGAGCCUGGAGAGAGGGCACCCAGCAUCAACAGGGAUAGCACGCUUACACAGGACCCAGAACUGGGAGGGAGGAGGGUGGAGGAGGAGGAAGAUAAGGAGAGUGAAACAGAGGACAGCGUCUCUCCUCUCCCCACCACAGUCAGUGGGUCAGUGAGUGAGGAGUUUGCCUCCUUUUGUGAGGCUGUGUCAGAUGCUUUGGAGGAGUUUGGGGACUUUGGCGAGACGGUCUUCACUCCCUUGUCAAUAGGGGAGGAGGAGAAGGAGAAAGAGGAGGUGCAGCGGAGUGACCUCAGGGAGGAGACCGAGACAAAGAUGGUGGAGGAGGAAGAUGAAGAAGAGGACUUUGGAAACUUCAGGGAUGCUGGAUCCUUCCCUAGCCAGGAGGACUUUGCUGACUUCAACCAAUCGGAGUCCAGAACACAGGAGGGCUUCGGCGACUUUGACCAGGACUAUUCUGAGGACCCAGGUCCGACCCAGGCGUGUGGGGAGGAGGUUGGACAUGGAGACCUUCCCCUCAGCGACAGCUUUGCAGACUUCCACUCUGCUCCCCUGGAGGGCUGGGGGGCGUUUGGGGACCAGAGAGGUCUGUCAGAGGGGGAGACCUGGGCAGAGUUUGGAGAGGAGGAUAGACCCAGGUGGACAGAAGAGGCGGAGGUGAAGAAAGGGGGAGAGAGAUGUCAGGGAGGUGCUGCUGUACGAAGGGACAGUCUGCAGGCCUCCGUGUCUAUCCGGCUACAGAGAGUCCUGCAGACCAGCUUCCCUGCAGUGGCAGUCCCAGAACUGGAUCAAGAGGGGGAGGAGACUGGGGUGGAGGGGGAGGAGACUGGGCUGGAGGGGGAGGAGACUGGGCUGGAGGGGGAGGGGACGGGGCUGGAGGGGGUGGAGACGGCGCUGGAGGGGGAGGAGACGGGGCUGGAGGGGGAGGAGAUGGGGGUGGAAGGGGAGGGGACGGGGGUGGAGGAGGACAGUGGGGUGGAGGAGGACAGUGGGUUGGAGGUAUUGAAGGUACUCAGCCUCAGGGCUUUGUUAGAGACUCUAGACACCCAGCCUGAGGAAGAGGAGUCGAAGGGGCUCAACCACACUACACACUGGGUUCCUAGGGGUGUGUGGCGGCAGCCUCAGGACCUCCACGAUGCCGUGGGCCUGGGGUUCUAUUGGGGCGGUUCCCAUAGCAACAGGGCCCUGCUCCGCUGUCUGGGGAUAGACACCAGGAACAUGGUAACGGCCUCUUUUCAGUUUAAAGCUACACUCUGUAAUUAUGUGAAUGGCUCCAUGCAUAGCAGAGUGAGCCACAGCCACCUCAACAGAAUAACAGCAGAUGUAAACAAACAGUAAGAAAAUGGAUGGAUGUCAUUUCACAUGACUUUAUAACAUCUACAUGUAUAGAGCUCAGUGAAUGACUUUCCAUUAGAGAAACAUAACUAAAUAAAACAUGAAGCCAUCUGUCUAUGACAACAACAGCAUCAACGAUGUAGUAAGUAAUGUGUCUGUCUGUCCGUAAGCCCCUCCCUCCCCAUAUUACCAUAUUGUACAUCAUCUACUGUAAAUGUGUCUAUAUAUCCCCUUUACUAUGUAGAAGUGCUCUGUUGUUGCUGUGUCUAUAGUGUACAUACUGUAUGUGGGUUAUGUCAAUUCUUCAUCUAUAAUAUAAUAUAAUGUUAUUCUGUUUAUUGGUGGAAAAGCAGCACCAUUUCACCAGCUUGAAUUCCUGCUACAUGUAAAGUUACUUGGUGAUUUCUGAUUCUGUCUCUCCUCCACAGUUGUUCACUGGCCAGAGAAAGCAGCCUGUCAUAGUUCCAGUGUUUGCAACCAGCCUGGUGAGUGGACUGAUGGAGAUACUGUUCUAUGUCCCAAAUGGAACCCUAUUCCCUGUAUAGGGCACUACUUUAGACCAGGGCCCAUAUGGACACAGUCCAUGGUGGCCCUAGUUCCAUUUCUGUCCCUAGAUCCUCCCCCUAAGCCUGGGUACCAGUCAGUUUGUUCCGUCAUGCCUCUCCUGGCCACUUGUUUUCAGGCCAAACAUGACCAGGAGUUGACAUGAUAGCACAAACAGAUCUGGGACCAGGCUACCUUCCCUUAGCCUUGUAUGCUGAUAGCCCCUUAAUGUUCACAGAUCUGAAAAUACUGGGUAGGUGUAAAGCAAUAAGAUGAUGACUCGACUGUUGGCCAUAUUGCUUUCUCCCUCUCCAAACCUUUCAUCAUGUGACAUGUGUUCCAUGGUGACCUCUUUCUUUCUCUGCCACUCCCUUUCCCAUUCACCUUUGAUUCC
rnacentral:lncRNA from 8 species